UACGUAGGGCGCAAGCGUUGUCCGGAAUCAUUGGGCGUAAAGCGCGCGUAGGCGGCUCGGUAAGUCCGCUCUGAAAGUCCAGGGCUCAACCCUGGGAUGCGGGUGGAUACUGCCGAGCUCGAGUCCGGAAGAGGCGAGUGGAAUUCCUGGUGUAGCGGUGAAAUGCGCAGAUAUCAGGAGGAACACCAAUGGCGAAGGCAGCUCGCUGGGACGUGACUGACGCUGAGACGCGAAAGCGUGGGGAGCAAACAGG
rnacentral:rRNA from 1 species